rnacentral:tRNA from 1 species
AGGACUUUAAGUUAAUUUAAAGUAAACUCUUAACCUUCAAAGUUAUAAAUAUCUAAAAAAAAUCAGGUAAGUCUUA